ensembl:lincRNA
CCACGUUUGCAGCAUUGAGGAGCCUGGCCCCUCCCCUUCCUGUGUGGAACUUGGAAUUCGAACGGCAGGCGGGAAGUGCUCUAGCAGGGGAGUCUGACCUUGUGAGGGAAUACCUGUGUCCCCCCUUUUUUCCCCUUUUUACCCAAUAAAACCCUGCCUUACUCACCCUUUAAAUCAUCUGCGCGCCUCAAUUUUCAUGGCCGUGGGACGGACAAGAACUUUGUCUUCAGCUGAACUAAGAAAAAGUCCUGCAACAUUUUUGGCGCGCAAUGUGGGGGCACCAGAAGCGGGCACCGUUGAGCUGUUGCAACUGUUCUGCUGCCAUGGCGCGUAUUCCUCAUCAGAAGGCUUUAUGAAUGGGAGCUCAUUAAUCAAGCAGUCAUCCCAAGAGGCAGAGCAGAGGCAGAAUCUGAGCUUGGAAGGUGUCCGGAAACUGCCAGGUGCAGAAGCAUGCAUUUACUCGCUCGUUCAUCAGUGCCUGGAUGUCAAAAGGGCUUUCUAAAUAACUAUGCUGAGUAACGCUCCAAUUCUAGUUUCUGCAUUUCUGCAUAUUUCACAGCCUGUGCCUAUCAGCUCCAAGACAGAUCCUAACCUUUGCCUUUAGACGGACAUCCAUUUGAAAUCCAUCUUUAGCAAAUAUUAAGUUUGUGGGUUUGGACAACUUAGUUGAAUGUUUUGAUCAUUAAUUUUCUCAUCCAUAAAACCAGGAUCUUUAUUUUCUAGUGUUGCUGAGAAAAUUUUAUAAGGUGACGUAAGCAAAGAACCUACCAGGGUCUGGUUACAUGCCUGGCUUUCUAUUAAUUCUUUAAGAAAAAGUGUGUUAUAAUUGCUUCCCUGAAGCACUCUCAUUUCUCUGUUAUUUUGGUCACAUCAUCAUCAUCAUAUCUCUUUUAUUGAGUGUGACUGUUUGCCAUGCUAUUGCAUGUGUGGGGAAUGUGUGUAUGUUUAUGUAUGCAUGUAUAUAUGUAUGCAUAGUAAAUCACCUUUAUGUAUGCAUAGUUAAGAAACCUGGAAGGGACUAUGAUUUAUGUGAUUUAUUCAUGUUAAGCAAAUAAUAUUCACAUUAACUCUGUGAAUAAAUAUUGUUCUCAUUUUACAGCUGAGGAAACCAAAUCUGAAAGAGAUUAAGAAACAUGAGCAGUAUCAAAUGACUAGACAAUGUCUCAGCUGAAUUCAAAUCUUCUUUUUAAACUCCAUCUACCUGCUCUAUCUGACAUUAAUAAACAUUCCAAGAAGAAUGUCUGCAAAGAGGAGAGACUGAGAAUUACUAGCCACUCAAUUAGGUCACUUAACAUCUUAUAUUAGCUGCUCAUUUCAUUUGGGAGCAAGGAGAACUGGGUUCUCAUUCUUCAGCCAAUGAGCUGGAGAAACCUGGACAAAUAAUUUAAUUGCUUGAGGCUUAAUUGUCCAAUCACUGAAAUGUAAGAAAAUAAGAAAUAAUCUUUAAAUUUACUUUCAAUUAAAUAAAACACUGAUUGUUAAUACAUAUUUGAAAAUAUACUAGAAACUGAAUGUGCAAAUUAGGAUAAUGAAUUGCACUCUAAAUUUAAAAUGCAAGAAAUGAUGUAUUUUAUUUCUUAUUUAUACAUGUAUAUUAUUUCAAGAAUUAUAAAUCUCAAC